CUCAACCCUGGCAGGAGUAUUUGCAGAGGGGCCAAGGCAGGGGGAUCAGUCUGGAGGCUGCAGGACACGCUCACCUACCUGGGGUAGUUUCACCCUAUUCUCCAGCCCCAGUGAUGGCUAAUCCGCUCCAAAUCCAUGGACCUGCAUCCUUGAGCUCUAGGAGGAGUCAAUAAAGAGCCUUUGCUGCUAACGGAGCCCAAAACAUUGAGGAGCUGGGAAGAGGAUGCAGGAACAGUGCAGAGAUGAUAUGGAGUCACUGGGGCUGAUUUUGUUGCCAGUAAAGCAACAAAAGCUAUUUUCUUGUCCAUGAUAGACAGCAUGUGUGCUUCAGCCAUGUGAUCAAGGUAUAAUAACUGCAUUCAAACAGAAGGGAAUUGCAUGUUAUGUCCUGCACACUAUGGAGCAGGACAUCCAGAGGCAUUGAUGUAUAAUCACCAUUCAAAUUGUACAUGCAACCUGGAAUGCUGUCACUUGGUACCAUUGUUAACUGUUUCCCCAAGGCACAUUUCAGCCUGACAACCCAUGAGAUAGCAACUGAUAGAGACCCUGGCACCAGUCACAGAAGCAUGGUCUAUGAUUGCUGAUGAGAAUGCCAUAUUUGAAGAGUUUGUCCAAGCUGAUAGCAAACUUGUGACAUCUGAAACACUGGCCCUCAAGAACAUUGUCAGAAUGGUCAAUAGAUCUGAUGAUAAUGAAUCUAAGAAAGGAGCCAAAGAAGAGCAGGGUAAUGAAGUUUAUGCUCCUGUCCCUGAGAUGGUAUCACACACACAGUCAGUAGGUCAUUUAACCCUAUAUAGGCUGAAAUUGCAGGUCUCCAACCCUAUAUAGAUAGCAUUCCUGAAGUGACAAAUUAUAUUUUCAUUGCUUUGGCUCAUAUACCAAACUUUUUACUAAACAGACCCAUUUCUACUAAGCAAACAAACAUAAAAAAUUUGCUUAACGUUAAAUACAUGUUAAAUGUUCUGUUAUUUCAAAAUUGUAAAUGUGUUUUGAUGUUGCAUGUCUGUUCAACAGACAAGUGUUUUUAUGUUAAACAAAGUGUUCCCUGUUUAAGAAUAUUGUAUGUGCACAUAAAUGGCUUUCUGUACUACAUGCUGUUAAAGCAAUUUAAAUAUGUGCUUUGAUUUUGCAUUUCAAUUAAGCAAACACAGGUAAGUUUUUAAUGUUAAAUGAAGCAUUUUCUGGUGUUUAAAAAUAGUGUGUAAUAAUGUAACUCAUAGUAAUAAUUCAAAGUAUUACUUUCAAUGUAGUGUCAAUAGGACUUUAACCACCCGUAGUCAAGAACAGUGAUUUUUUUUGCUUCACAUGGGCUCCUUAAGGGGUUCAUCAUCAUGGUGAAACUUCAUUGAAGCUUUUCUUAUUGUCAGGGAGUCUAUCAGGUUUUUUUCUCAUGGAUUCUCUGGUGAGCUUGAAGGCAGGAACAUCUGAUGAGGCUUUUCCUAUGGUGACAGCAUUAAUAAGGUUGCCCUCCCACAUAGACUGUCAUGUCCAGGGUCCAGCAGAGACCGCUGUCCUUCAGUGAAACACCAGGCACCUCCCCACAAGUCACCAAUUCCUGAAACGACAAGAAUUUCCCUCUUGGCACUUGAUGCUCUGGCCACCAAUUCCACUACUCUUUGUAGGCAAAGUGCUUCAAAAAAUGGAGACUUUUUACGAGAAUCCCACUACCAACCUGCAUGGAGCAGCCAGGAACUUGAAGCUGUGGGAAGGAAGAGAGAGCCACUAAUCUGUUCCAGCAGGCAGAGAGUGGCAGGGGCCUUCCUAUUAACUGAUAUUCCAUGUUUACUUGUCAGAGGCUGAUAUAAAAGGGACAGUCCUGAGCAGAGUGCUUGUAGGGAUCCAAACAGCUUCUCCAUUCCCAGAAGCUGCCAGGCCUCCCUUGGCCAGAAUAACCCUCCUCUGUUCUUCAUCCACUAAAGAGCAAUCACAUGAGACUCUAGAAGCCAGAAGCCCUCUGUGCCCACCUGCAGCAGAAUCCCAGUCCCACUGGGGAAGAAACCAAUCCAGCAGCAGGCUGGCAGGGCAGGGCAGGGUCUGAAAAGCAGAAGAAAUUUCAUGCCCCCAGUGUGUGCAAGGGCAUUGGUCCCCUGGGAAUGUGUGUGUGUUGUGGGGAGGGUCUUGGCAAGGGCAGUGAAAAGGGUCCAGAAGAGUAAGGGUGGCAUUCUGUGCCCUUCCUAGUCACCCACACAACCAUUUUGUUGUUGUUGUCUAUGUGGCAUUUUUGGCAGUUAUGCACUCAGAGGAAUUCUCUUCCUGGACAUAUAGCCCUGAGUGCCUGAACAACUAUGUACCUGCACAUGGGCUGAGCAUGCACAGUAGCAGCCAGUACCUAUACACAUUUUUGUUGAAAAAUUAUAUAUAUCUAUAUAUCUAUAUCUAUAUCUCUCUCUCUCUUUAUAUAUAUAUAUAACUUCCAUCACAAACCUUUCAUCACACAAGAAGAACCGUGCAUGAGUUACAAUAAAUGUACCCAUUCCCCCAGGGCCCCGCACACCUACCCAUUACCCUUCCCUAACCCAAUCAUAGUCCCUUGGUUCAAAAAAACCCUUUUAUGGUUUAAAAUCUCAGUUCAAUCCCUGUCCUUUUUGCUGUCAAUGCCACUGUCACUGCCACUGCUGCUGAUCCUGUUGCUGACCACUUCGCUGUCAUCAGGUCCGGUUAUGUCUCUGUCCUCAUCAUUCUCACUGUCCUCUUCCCCUCCCGUGGGGUCCUUGAACACCCUGUGUCAAGUGUCUCUCUUCCAGGUGGAGUUGGCUGUCUCUUUUCCAUCCUAUACACAUACCCCUUGCAGACACAUAACAGCCCUAGAUGUCCAAAACUAGAGUCAAGGUGCCAGGAGAUCUGGAGAGAUUAGAUACCUUUAUUGUGCUGGGCCAUGAAGGAUUCAAGUGUAGAACAUACCAGUGGGAGGCUGAUGUAGGAGAUAAGUUUGUCUGAGGGUGGGGGGGAUCUUUGGCCAGCAGGGAAAAGUCAGACACACACCUGCCCCUGGACACUUUUAAAGAGUAAAGAUCAAUACUAUGACUUGCACCUUUCCUUCCACUGUGAGUCCAAAGUGGGUGAGGUAGGUGGGGGGGAGGGGGGGGUCUGGGCUAUGAGAUGGGUGAGGUCUUGUUCUACCAUGUUACUGACUUCAUUUUUACUGCCUUCUCACACCUAUUGUCUCCCAUUCCCUUUGAACCUUACUGUCACGCAUUUGCAUAUUCACAGACUUGCAUUUUGCAUGUUGGCUUCUACUCAGAAGAGCACACAAACACCAACACACUCUCCCUAUGCCUGAAGAAGAGUGUUUGUGCCCGAAAGCUUGCAAAGAACAAUUUUUCUAACUAUUUAGUUGAUCUAAUAAAAGAUAUCACAUCUA